UGUGGUGGAUUCUUGGGGAGGUAGUGACGAAAAAUAACGAGACGAUUCUCGUUUGAGAAACGUUAUCGAAAUGAGUACGCUUUACACACGCUAACGAGUAGCAAUUGGAGGGCAAGUCUGGUGCCAGCAGCCGCGGUAAUUCCAGCUCCAAUAGCGUAUAUUAAAGUUGCUGCGGUUAAAACGCUCGUAGUUGAAUUGUGGUCUUAGACAACAGUCCCCCUACAAAGGUGUGGCACGGUUGCUCGAGAUCUUCAUUCGUGGUUGCUGUUGUUGCUCUUCAUUGAGUGUCAAUGGUGCCUCGAGAUUUUACUUUGAAAAAAUUAGAGUGCUCAAAGCAGGUUGUGAUGCCUGAAUAAUGGUGCAUGGAAUAAUAGAAUACGAUCUCGGUUCUAUUUUGUUGGUUUUCGAACCGGAGAUAAUGAUUGAAAGGAACAGACGGGGGCAUUCGUAUUGCUGCGUUAGAGGUGAAAUUCUUGGAUCGCAGCAAGAUGAACAAUUGCGAAAGCAUUUGCCAAGAAUGUUUUCAUUAAUCAAGAACGAAAGUUAGAGGUUCGAAGGCGAUCAGAUACCGCCCUAGUUCUAACGGUAAACUAUGCCAACCAGCGAUUCGCCGAAGUUCAUUUAAGACUCGGCGAGCAGCUUCCGGGAAACCAAAGUGUUUCGGUUCCG
rnacentral:ncRNA from 1 species